GAUCUUGUAGUGAAAUUCAUGUUGAGUUGCAAGCUCAUUGAUGUGUGUUAAAAGCACGCCAAGGUCU
rnacentral:tRNA from 1 species